UAUGGCGAGACCCACGGGGCACUGACGGAGGAGGGGAAGUGUCUGGGUAGAGCGUCUGGGGAGUUUGAGUAUUGUGGAUCCGACCCUGCACAUCCGGUUACAAGCAUCUACGGUCCAACAGGCGGCAUAAGACAUGCUGGAGGCGGGUGCUGGAUCAAGAUCUCGUCCUGUCCCUCUAACACCAACCUGACUGGCUUCUUCUACGACGCCUGGGGUGCAACCAACCUUGACACAGAUCAUGAGCGCAAUGAGUGUUUGGCCCGAGUUGACCACUUCUGGCAACGAUGUGGGUCCCAUCGAGAAUUCCCUGUCACAGCCUACUACAAACCGAGGGCAGUGUCUAAUACUGUACACUGAAUACAUAUGUAUCGUAUGAAAAUAUAAGGGUAUAGGACUCGUCUCUAUUUGCGCUUAAAUAUAU